CUUUCACAACAAAAACUCGUCUGGAAAUACAAAUCGUUUUUGUAUUCUGAGUCACAGCACACACACCAAAAAACAAAAAUAAAUAAAAAAAAACCAAAGAGAUUUUCUAGACAAAACGCUGCAGACUUUAUGUCUUCUAAAGACCUGGACGAGGGGAUCUAUCCGCCCGGCUUUCAUUCAUAAAUUGCUCAACGAUAUUGCCCCGUAGCUGCUGGAACAAAAGAGGUCGUCACACCUAUUUCUCUUUUUUCUUCAAUUUUUUUUAGUUUGUUUGGAAAUCAAUAUCUAAACAAUGCAAGCAGCAGCGGCGGCCCUCAACAAAUUUUCUGGCAGCCUAAUAAAAAGACGAGCAAGUAUGGUCAAGCGAAGAGUUCACGACUAGGAGAUACCUUAGUUAGUUUAUCGAGUUCGGGGCAAAUGGGGUUCGCUUAAUUUGAAUAAGACAUAAACGAAUAAAUAUACCAAAUUUUGUAACUGGAGUUCUUAAUGUCGCUCAGAUCGGAUGGACUAGAAGGAAAUUAAACCAGUAUAUAUGGAUAUUUGAAAGUGAACUAAAUUCAAAUUUACCCAGACAUAAUUUAUAUACCAACUCUGGAAACUCAAGAUAUUAUAGUCGCUGGAUUAAUAAGACACGAAACCUUGCUUCGAUUCGUCAAGAAUAUGCGUGCACAGGUAUACAAAAUUUCUUUCACCAACAACAAGCAGAAGUUUUGACACUUUAUGGCCACGAAAACUUUUGUGCGUGUAUUACGAGCAUUAUAAACUUAGGAGGCAGCUCCGACAAAUGAGCCCGCCUGUGUGGCACAGCUCGCCGGAGUGCGGGUGCGGGGCAGAUCUUGGACCGCCGCGUCGCAUUGUCUAUGGAUGCUGGUCAUCUGUCUGAGAGCGAGAGCAUAGCCAAUGGUUCGAUUUGAUACGAUUGGAAUCCCAUUUCGAGCGACUCAUUUGCAUGAAAAUUUGUUGCAAACACAUUUAACUGAAAUCGAAUUCUUUUGAAAAUACGUUGAAACGGUAAUUUGUUGGCCAGUUUAGAUGUGUUAUUAGCAGCGUUUAUAUGCGAGUUACGCCCAAAACGCGACAGAGAAAAAAUAAUAAUAAUAAUAUUAAUAAUAAUAAACACGAUACGAUAUCCAGAUAGUUCAGCUAGA